CCUUUCUUGAAUUAAUUUUGGCAUAAAAGAAGAAUCAAUGGAAUUUGAUCCAAAUAGCACUUGCAAAAUGGCUGACAACUACAAAUAAAUCCCUUGAUAGCAUGGAAAGACAGCAAAUCUAUUUUCCAAGUUUGAACAUGGAAAAAGUAAUGAAUGGACAAGGCCACCUCACAGGUCAUUUUCACAUAAAGAACCUCAACCACUAAUCACAGAUAUGCCUGUAAAUCCCUUCUCCAUAUCAUUAUAUAAAAAAGGAAAAAAAAAAUAAUGAAGCUACUAAUUAAACCCAAUUGUACCUCAAAGUUGCGGAAUGUCCAAUGUACAGGCACUUUGCAUCUUUCUUUUAAAAACAAUUCAGUCAUCUUGCCUCAAAGGCAAGGCUAAUGAUAAUAAUUAACACUUAAUUAUGCUCAUUUGCAGGUGCUAUGUGGGGAAGGAGUGCAGUUCUUGCUAGUGUUAGCAGGUGAAAGAACACAAUAUCUUAAGUUUGUGAACUUUGACUUAUCAUCCCAUGCAAUUGAAAAAAUACCCAGUUCCACAAAGCUGACAUUCCCUUCCUCAUCUUGCUUCUUAAGAAAGAAAAAAAAGAAAGAAAGGCCAAUUAUUUUUUUUAAAAGAUCAAACAUUUAAAUAAGAAGAAAAGAUAAAGAGGAGAAAGUGAGUCCUUACCUAUACAGGAAGUGCUAAUGGAACUUGGCCUCUCAAAAGCAGAAU
rnacentral:misc_RNA from 1 species